UACGUAGGGGGCGAGCGUUGUCCGGAUUUAUUGGGCGUAAAGAGCGUGUAGGCGGUUCGGUAAGUCUGUCGUGAAAUCCUGAGGCUCAACCUCGGGCGUGCGAUGGAUACUGCCGGGCUAGAGGAUGGUAGAGGAGACUGGAAUUUACGGUGUAGCGGUGAAAUGCGUAGAUAUCGUAAGGAAGACCAGUGGCGAAGGCGGGUCUCUGGACAGUUCCUGACGCUGAGGCACGAAGGUCAGGGGAGCAAACGGG
rnacentral:rRNA from 1 species